UAAACCUUUAACUAAGUCCAGAGAGACUCAGAAGGUAAGAUAUGAUGUUGAAUAACAUUCAAUAGUGUUGCUGCGCGUAUGUUGCAAAGUAGCUUCUUGCCGACUGGUAAGAAGCUUUUUUAGA
rfam:Clostridium thermocellum ATCC 27405, complete genome.